rnacentral:lncRNA from 1 species
CUGCGCCUGGCCCCAAAUUCUUCUAUGAAACAAACCUUCACAGUCCACUGAGCUGGUGUGGUUCAAAGUGCCAUCAAGGGUGGUAAGAAUGAUUGAACUCUGAUGACCAGAUGAUUUUCCUGCUCCAAAGCUCCCUUGCCAGGACACCCUCAAGCAAGAAUUGCCCUCCUGAGCAGGGCUUCCUGAGGCCAGAUGUGGAGGCUUUUCUUCAGAAAUCUCCUGGUCAGCCAUGAAUAAUCACUACUGUGCAAGAGGAUGAGCUCCGGCCUCUCUUAGUCACCUUUGAGUCCAUCUCAGCUACUGAAAUGUCUGUCCUAUGGAGUGGGAGGCUACCCGGAUGAGAAGAGGAAUAGAAACAGCACAAGGACCACGUGAACUCUCCCGUACUGAACCAUAGUACAGGUCCUACAGGGAAGUUUGCCUUGUUUCCGACCCCACUCCUGAAUGUAUGACAGGCAUUUGCUGAGAACAAAGGCUACCAUUAGGCAUCGCGGCUGAUGCUGUGAGAGUCUAAAGGAUACACUUUCUACCAGGAGGCUUUCCGCCUAGGAAAGGGGAGACAUGAAUCUAAAUGCACUAGAUGAGAGAGCUGUGUAGAUGCGCGUCUUCCUCACUGGUCUCAGUCAUUUUUUAACCUCCCGCUUACCCACAGUACUGCACCUGGCAUGCAGAUGAUGCUCCCAUAAUGUUUGGGCUUCUGUGUGGACAAUUAAUA